UUGUAAAUACAGAAUUUUUCAACAAAGACGAUUUUACAAAAAUCAUCUUAAAAGACUAUCAUUCUAAGAUGGUUAGAAGUGAAUGGUUGUCAUCUCAGGGCUUUGAAGCCCUUUUUCCUUUCGCUCUCGCGAAAUCCAGCAGUGCCUAUACUCACACAGUCACAAACCCUAACAAUGACACCACCACAUUUUCUUGCUUCUCCUCCCUUUAGCCAUGCCCGAAUCACGUGACUGUCGCGUAACCAUCAUUGACCUUGCCACCUCCUUAUCCCGCUUGUGUCCCAUUUAUCUACAAUGACGCUCCAACUCUUUGUACCCCCCCCCCCCAAAGAACCGCCACCCUCAAUAGCGGAAGAGCUUGUGCUUGUCCCGACUCCCAAAACAUACCACAAUCUACUGUGUGACAUGGUAAAGGAUGUGUUCUGUUACGCUGCGUGCUUCCGACGUGGUACCCUAGGAUCCAAUUCUUCUACUCUUUUCUUCAUCACAGAUAGCUUGACUUUAGCAUUUUACUUGUGAAGUAAUAUAAUCCAAACAAGCUUCAACAACAUUCUUUCUGCUCAACAAGUCUUCAAUUUCAAUCAGUGAUCUUCACCUUUCUCUCUGCCUCAUCUCCCUUUAAUUCAGUCUGCUGGUAACUCUAGUGCUCUUUUCCUAACUGUUGCAGCUCAAAAUCUACUGUCUCAAAUUAGCAGAGGAGCUUGGGGUGAUAGUUCCUAACCCAUGGGUUACUUGCUUUAAGGCGGCUAGUUUACCUGCCAUUGUUUGUCUUCUUAUGCCAUUGAUUUUGUACAAGCUCUAUCCCCCUGAAAUCAAAGACACACCAGAGGCUCCUGCCCUGGCUGCCAAGAAACUGGAAAGUAUGGGCCUUGUCAUUAAAAACGAAUGGAUUAUGGUCGGCACAAUGCUCCUUGCAGUGUCUUUAUGGAUCUUUGG
rnacentral:lncRNA from 1 species